rnacentral:rRNA from 1 species
UACGGGGGGAGCAAGCGUUGUUCGGAUUUACUGGGCGUAAAGGGCGCGUAGGCGGUCAGCACAAGUCAGUUGUGAAAUCUCCGGGUUUAACUCGGAAAGGUCAACUGAUACUGCGCGACUAGAGUGCAGAAGGGGCAACUGGAAUUCUCGGUGUAGCGGUGAAAUGCGUAGAUAUCGAGAGGAACACCUGUGGCGAAGGCGGGUUGCUGGGCUGACACUGACGCUGAUGCGCGAAAGCCAGGGGAGCGAACGGG